CUUGGUCAUUUAGAGGAAGUAAAAGUCGUAACAAGGUUUCCGUAGGUGAACCUGCGGAAGGAUCAUUACCGAGUACCGGGGCUUAGGUCCCUACUCCCACCCUUUGUUAACUGAAACUGUUGCUUUGGCGGACCGGCAAUAUUGCCACCGGCCUAGGCUGGACAGCGUCCGCCAGAGGCCCUGAAACUCAAUUAAAGUAUUUUCUGAGUCUUGAAGAUGAAGCAAAACUUUCAACAACGGAUCUCUUGGUUCUGGCAUCGAUGAAGAACGCAGCGAAAUGCGAUAAGUAAUGUGAAUUGCAGAAUUCAGUGAAUCAUCGAAUCUUUGAACGCACAUUGCGCCCUUUGGUAUUCCGAGGGGCACGCCUGUUCGAGCGUCAUUUAAACCAUCAAGCCUAGCUUGGUCUUGGGCGCGGUCGAGUGACCCGUCCGCAACCCGUUGGCGGCGCAGUCCGGCUUCAAGCGUAGCAAGAAUCUCGCUUCUGGGUUGACGCGGCGUCUGCCGGUUAAGACAUUCUCUGAAGUUUGACCUCGGAUCAGGUGAGGAUACCCGCUGAACUUAAGCAUAUCAAUAAGCGGAGGA
rnacentral:rRNA from 1 species